GUUUGCUGUAUACAUACAGUUAGAAUCCUCUGAACUUCACUCUGACAUCUGUUAUUCUUUCUUUUCUCCUCAGACAUCAGCAAAGGUGACCAGUGAAGAGCAUUGCCUGAUACCACGGACAAUGUGCCUUCUGUAUGCAGUAUGAAGGACACACAGCUGAAGACCAUAUCAUCACAACAUUAUGGCACCACUGAUGGAGCAUAUUCUGUAUGCAAUAUGAAGGACAGAUAGCUGAAAACCACACAUGGUA